rnacentral:rRNA from 1 species
ACGCGUGGAACCUUACCAGGUCUUGACAUCCUUCGCUACUUCUAGAGAUAGAAGGUUCCCCUUCGGGGGACGAAGUGACAGGUGGUGCAUGGUUGUCGUCAGCUCGUGUCGUGAGAUGUUGGGUUAAGUCCCGCAACGAGCGCAACCCUUGAUCUUAGUUGCCAGCAUUAAGUUGGGCACUCUAAGGUGACUGCCGGUGACAAACCGGAGGAAGGUGGGGAUGACGUCAAAUCAUCAUGCCCCUUAUGACCUGGGCUACACACGUGCUACAAUGGAUGGUACAAAGGGCAGCAAAACCGCGAGGUCGAGCAAAUCCCAUAAAACCAUUCUCAGUUCGGAUUGUAGGCUGCAACUCGCCUACAUGAAGCUGGAAUCGCUAGUAAUCGCGGAUCAGCAUGCCGCGGUGAAUACGUUCCCGGGCCUUGCACACACCGCCCGU